AAAAAAAAAAUAAUAAUAAUAAGGCUGCUGAAGAUAUAGAGAACACAUGCAAGCUAUUCUAACUUGGUUAGCCAACAACCACAUAUUGAAGUGAUUUCAUUGAAUUUCAAGUUCCCAGAUGCUUAAAUGGAAUAUCAAAAGGACUCUGGACAUAAAAUUUGAAAAUCAAAAUGGCAGCCAAAAGACAUAAAGGAGAAUAGAGCUCUAGUGGUGAGAGAUGACAAUGAUGAUGAUGGUGCCAAACUCAUUUGCUUAUUUCUAAAACUUUUAAAAAUACCCUGCCAAACUAAUGAACAAACCUGAGUUGAAAUAUAAUUUUCUAUAGCAGAUUUUUAUUUAGUAAGGAUUGGAAAGCACAUAACAACCACUGUACCUUAUUUGUUCAAAAUUUAUCUUCCUUCAUAAAAGUCCUUUGUUUUACAGAUGAAUAGAUGAUUAAAAGCUUUAAGUCACUCCCCAUAAAACCAGUUCUAUCCUCUGGUUUCCAGCCACGAGCUUAUCAGCUAGACUCCCGAAAAAAAAAAG
rnacentral:misc_RNA from 1 species